CGGCGAGGGUGGGACGCGGGGCGGAGCCCGAGUUUAGGAAGAGGAGGGGACGGCUGUCAUCAAUGAAGUCAUAUUCAUAAUCUAGUCCUCGCUCCCUCUGUUUCUGUACUCUGGGUGACUCAGAGAGGGAAGAUUCAGCCAGCACACUGCUCGCGAGCAAGUGUCAGUCUGCUGACUGGCAGAGUCAGGAGACGUAGAUGGCCACACCCACAGACCCAGCUGCAAUGCCCCAUCCUGGGCCCUCCCCGGGGCCUGGACCUUCUCCUGGACCAAUUCUGGGGCCUAGUCCAGGACCAGGACCGUCCCCAGGUUCUGUGCACAGUAUGAUGGGGCCCAGUCCUGGACCUCCCAGUGUCUCACAUCCUAUGUCGACAAUGGGCUCGGCAGACUUCCCACAGGAAGGCUUGCACCAGCUGCAUAAGCCCAUGGAUGGGAUACAUGACAAGGGGAUUGUAGAAGAUGUCCACUGUGGAUCCAUGAAGGGUACCAGUAUGCGCCCACCACACCCAGGAAUGGGCCCUCCACAGAGCCCAAUGGAUCAGCACAGCCAAGGUUAUAUGUCACCACAUCCAUCUCCUUUGGGAGCCCCAGAGCAUGUCUCCAGCCCUAUAUCUGGAGGAGGCCCAACCCCACCCCAGAUGCCGCCGAGCCAGCCAGGGACACUCAUCCCAGGAGAUCUGCAGGCCAUGAACCAGCCUAACAGAGGUCCCUCGCCUUUCAGUCCCGUACAGCUGCAUCAGCUUCGAGCUCAGAUUUUAGCUUACAAAAUGUUGGCCAGGGGCCAGCCCCUCCCUGAAACUCUGCAGCUUGCAGUCCAGGGAAAAAGGACCUUGCCUGGUAUGCAACAGCAACAGCAGCAGCAGCAGCAACAACAACAGCAGCAGCAACAACAGCAGCCCCAGCAGCCCCAGCAGCCUCAGCAGCAGACACAGGCACAGCCACAGCAGCAGCAACAGCAGCAGCAGCAGCCGCCAGCUCUUGUUAGCUACAAUAGACCAUCUGGCCCUGGGCAGGAGCUGCUGAUGACUGCUCAGAACACCCAGCAGAAGCUGUCGGCACCCGCACCCAGCGGCCGACCUUCACCUGCACCUCCAGCGGCCACCCAGCCCACGGCCACAGCAGUGCCUGGGCCCUCGGUGCAGCAGCCUGCCCCAGGGCAGCCAUCUCCCGUCCUGCAGCUGCAACAGAAGCAGAGCCGCAUCAGCCCCAUCCAGAAACCGCAAGGCCUGGACCCCGUGGAGAUCCUGCAGGAACGGGAGUACAGACUUCAGGCUCGCAUAGCUCAUAGGAUACAAGAACUGGAAAGUCUGCCUGGCUCCUUGCCACCAGAUUUACGAACCAAAGCAACCGUAGAGCUGAAAGCACUUCGCUUGCUCAACUUUCAACGUCAGCUGAGACAGGAGGUGGUGGCCUGCAUGCGAAGGGACACCACCCUGGAGACAGCCCUCAACUCCAAGGCGUACAAGCGGAGUAAGCGCCAAACCCUGCGAGAGGCACGCAUGACGGAGAAACUGGAGAAGCAGCAGAAGAUAGAGCAGGAGAGGAAACGCCGCCAGAAGCACCAGGAAUACCUGAACAGUAUUUUGCAACAUGCAAAAGAUUUUAAGGAAUACCACCGGUCUGUGGCUGGGAAGAUCCAGAAGCUGUCCAAAGCAGUGGCGACUUGGCAUGCUAACACCGAAAGGGAGCAGAAGAAGGAGACGGAGCGGAUCGAGAAGGAGAGAAUGCGAAGGCUGAUGGCUGAAGAUGAAGAGGGCUACAGGAAGCUCAUCGACCAAAAGAAAGACAGACGCCUGGCCUACCUAUUGCAGCAGACUGAUGAGUAUGUCGCCAAUCUGACCAACCUGGUUUGGGAGCACAAGCAGGCCCAAGCAGCCAAAGAGAAGAAGAAGAGGAGGAGGAGGAGGAAGAAGGCCGAAGAGAAUGCAGAGGGAGGGGAGCCUGCCCUGGGACCAGAUGGAGAGCCAAUAGACGAAAGCAGCCAGAUGAGUGACCUGCCUGUCAAAGUGACGCACACGGAAACUGGCAAGGUCCUCUUUGGACCAGAAGCACCCAAAGCAAGUCAGCUGGACGCCUGGCUGGAGAUGAAUCCUGGUUACGAAGUGGCACCCAGAUCGGACAGUGAAGAGAGUGAAUCAGACUAUGAGGAAGAGGAUGAAGAAGAAGAGUCCAGUAGGCAGGAAACAGAGGAGAAGAUACUGCUGGAUCCAAACAGCGAAGAAGUUUCCGAAAAGGACGCCAAGCAGAUCAUUGAGACUGCGAAACAGGAUGUGGACGACGAGUACAGCAUGCAGUACAGUGCCAGAGGGUCCCAGUCCUACUACACGGUGGCUCACGCCAUCUCCGAGAGGGUGGAGAAGCAGUCUGCCCUCCUCAUUAAUGGCACCCUGAAGCACUACCAGCUCCAGGGCCUGGAAUGGAUGGUUUCCCUGUAUAAUAACAAUCUGAAUGGAAUCUUAGCUGAUGAAAUGGGGCUAGGCAAGACCAUCCAGACCAUUGCACUCAUCACGUAUCUGAUGGAGCACAAAAGGCUCAAUGGCCCCUACCUCAUCAUCGUCCCCCUCUCGACUCUGUCUAACUGGACAUAUGAAUUUGACAAAUGGGCUCCUUCUGUGGUGAAAAUUUCCUACAAGGGUACCCCUGCCAUGCGACGCUCCCUUGUUCCCCAGUUACGGAGUGGCAAAUUCAAUGUCCUCCUGACUACCUACGAGUACAUUAUAAAAGACAAGCACAUUCUUGCAAAGAUUAGGUGGAAAUACAUGAUAGUGGACGAAGGCCACCGAAUGAAGAACCAUCACUGCAAGCUGACCCAGGUCCUGAACACACACUACGUGGCCCCCAGAAGGAUCCUUCUGACUGGGACCCCGCUGCAGAAUAAGCUCCCCGAACUCUGGGCCCUCCUCAACUUCCUCCUCCCUACAAUCUUCAAGAGUUGCAGCACAUUUGAGCAGUGGUUUAAUGCUCCGUUUGCCAUGACCGGCGAAAGGGUGGACCUGAACGAAGAAGAAACCAUUUUGAUCAUCAGGCGUCUACACAAGGUGUUGAGACCCUUUUUACUGAGGAGGCUGAAGAAAGAGGUUGAGUCUCAGCUUCCAGAAAAGGUUGAGUAUGUGAUCAAGUGUGAUAUGUCCGCUCUGCAGAAGAUCCUGUACCGUCAUAUGCAGGCCAAGGGCAUCCUCCUCACGGACGGGUCUGAGAAGGAUAAGAAGGGGAAAGGAGGUGCCAAGACGCUUAUGAACACUAUCAUGCAGCUGCGAAAGAUAUGCAACCACCCAUAUAUGUUUCAGCACAUUGAGGAAUCCUUUGCUGAACACCUGGGCUAUUCGAAUGGGGUCAUCAAUGGGGCCGAGCUGUAUCGGGCCUCAGGAAAGUUUGAGCUACUUGAUCGUAUUCUGCCCAAAUUGAGAGCGACUAACCACCGCGUGCUGCUUUUCUGCCAGAUGACGUCACUCAUGACCAUCAUGGAGGAUUACUUUGCUUUUCGGAACUUCCUUUACCUGCGCCUUGAUGGCACCACCAAGUCUGAAGAUCGUGCUGCUUUGCUGAAGAAAUUCAAUGAACCUGGGUCCCAGUAUUUCAUUUUCUUGCUGAGCACACGAGCUGGGGGCCUGGGCUUAAAUCUUCAGGCCGCAGACACUGUGGUCAUCUUUGACAGCGACUGGAAUCCUCAUCAGGAUCUGCAGGCCCAAGACCGAGCUCACCGCAUUGGCCAACAAAAUGAGGUCCGGGUGCUGAGGCUUUGCACCGUCAACAGUGUUGAGGAAAAGAUUCUCGCGGCUGCCAAGUACAAGCUGAAUGUGGACCAGAAGGUUAUUCAGGCGGGCAUGUUUGACCAGAAGUCAUCCAGCCAUGAGCGGAGGGCAUUUCUACAGGCCAUCCUGGAGCACGAAGAGGAGAAUGAGGAAGAAGAUGAGGUACCAGACGACGAGACCCUGAACCAGAUGAUUGCUCGCCGGGAAGAAGAGUUUGAUCUUUUUAUGCGCAUGGACAUGGACCGGCGGAGAGAGGACGCCAGAAACCCGAAGCGCAAGCCUCGCUUGAUGGAGGAAGAUGAGCUGCCCUCCUGGAUAAUUAAGGAUGAUGCUGAAGUGGAAAGGCUCACCUGCGAAGAGGAGGAGGAGAAGAUAUUUGGGAGGGGCUCUCGCCAGCGCCGGGAUGUGGACUACAGCGAUGCCCUCACCGAGAAGCAGUGGCUCAGGGUAGGUGUGGCUUUUCAAACUUACCUGGUGGCUGGAGUGUUUUCAGUGACUUGGCUGGAAUUCUCUGCCCUGGUGGCAGAGUUGCUGAUGGCGUAGCCUGGGCUCCUGAACAUUGAGGGAGUCUUCCUUGUGCAGCAGUCAUUCUGUGUUUCCAGGCGGUUUUUAGGGGAGAGGAGAAUUGGCUGUAAGAAGUGAAGAUUAUUAGGGCUGUGAGACACAUGAAUGUUUUAUGGUCAAUUGUCUGGCCAUGCCUCACUUUCUCAGAAUGCACGAGGGGUCCUUAGAGAUUGUUUUAAUUGUUCACCCUUAUUUCACGGUCUUUAAUCAUGGAUUUAAUUCUGCGUGGCCUGCCCAGAGAGUUCAGAGGCAACGUUGUUUUCUGUGUGAUUUCUGGCUCUGUGAUUUCAUGGUUAGAGCGCAUUUAGAUUUGGAUGGUCCUUUGUACUAUUUGGUUUUGAUGAAGAAAUUGAAGCCCAAAAAAGUGCGUGUGACUGUUUGGGGCGCACAGCCGGAUAGAAAUACAGAGUCAGUGGCUACUGGUGUGUUUGCAUGUCAACGUCGGCUCGGCGCGAUUGAUCUGUUUUAAAUAGCGAUGAUACCCAGACUAAAGUCAAUGGUGGUAGGGAGAAAAGAAAAUGUUAUUUUAAAGUUUGUGGGGAUAUUUUUUUUAUUCCCUCUUCAGAAAGUGGUAAUUUCUCAUUUUGACCGGGACUGAAAUCGCACGAUAUUCCUCUGGGACCCCAGAAAUAUCAGCAUGCUCCUACCAGUCAUGUGUGGGAAUAUCAGGGCCAGUGGGGUUCAGCCGUCCUUUCUAUUCUUUUGAACAGACUUGGUACCUAAUGGGCAGAACAGCCGGGGACAUGCUUCCCAGACAGGGCCAGCAAAGCAAGUGCUGGAAAUAGUAUGUGCAGUUGGGUAAAAACCAAACUAAACAGAAGCUAGUGUUGGGCACCGUCCAUUUUCUCAAAGGGAAUAAAAUUCCCAAGCCUUGUGAGCCAAGGAUUUCAAGGCCUGGGUCGUAAGAGGGUAGGUGGGGAGAGGGGAACUGGGGAGGGUUUUGUGGCUGGAUAUCUGAGGCAGAUGGCCUCCGUACCGCUGGAGGGAUGCUUCUCUCAGGGCGCUAUGUAAUGACAGGGAUGUGACCUGAAUUUCGAAAAGAGGGUGUCUGUGGGAUUCUGCAAAGAAAAUCCAAGAAGGCAUCACUCAUGUUUAUGGUUGAACAAUUGCAUAUGAAAUGUAACUUGUGUGUGAUUGUUUCCCUGUCAGACCCAGGCAAGGGUUCCAAUGGCCUCAGAAUGCACCUCUGCGAAUUCCCUCUGUUUGACUGUUAUGAUUGUAGUUUGGUUGGGUAAUUAAGACUCAUCCUAGAGUGUAAGGAGAUUUCGUUGAAUAUUCAUUUCAGAGCUUGGAAAAAUUGGAUUUCCUUUCUCUUUAUUAAAGCAAUAUAUUAAUCACCUGAAGUGUUAUUACCAGAGAGGAAAUAAACAUAACGUAGGCCCACAACUUCAAAAUCGAUUUUUUGAUAUGAGUAAUCUCUAGAUGCGAUAGGCAUAUUAACCCUGUUUAUUGGUCAAGGUUGUAGUCGAACUUAUCUUGUGCUUUAUAAUCGUAGAAAAUUACUCCUAGGAAGGAUGACAACAUUAAUCUCGGAGGCCUCCGUGUUAGGCUAGCUUACCGUAACUCAUUUUAUCCUUCACAGUACCCAACAUGUACAGAGACUUAGUGAGUGACUGCAGAAACAAACCUUAAUCCUAGGAAAGUGGAAGUUACUGGCUUCCCAGCAGCGCUUGGAGAACUUUCUAAGUGAAUGCAGCAGGCUCAUUCAGAACAGAAAACCAGUUAGUUUUACAGAACUAACUCCUCUAUGGAGGAAACUCAUGUGUUUUGAUUUUAUCCCUUAAGGUGCCCUAGCAGUGUGUCAAGUCAUCCAGGAGGGCAGAAGCCGUUCUCAGCACAGCUUUAGUGGGAUGUACCUUGUUGGCAUUCUUUUCAAACACUGUAUUUCAUGGUCUGGAUGUCUACUUGCUGUUCCUUCCGGAAGACAACUGACACCCGGAUCUCAACUCUUGAGAGUUACAAUCCUGUGUUGUUGUUGACCCAGAAGCAAUCUGAAUAUACGGCAAUUAAGUAUUUGCUGCAGUAAAGUGAAAUCGAAGGGGCUCUUAGGCUGGGUGUGUAGAGGAGAUGCCCAGUUCUGCUAGUGAUUGGCGUCUCUCGUAGUCACAGCCAAUGUGGCCUUGAGAGGGAGACUGGCAAGUACGACAGGGUAAGAUACGCUCCAUUGAGGCUGAAAUUAUUCUUCCUCCUGGCAGCACUGUAUAAAGCCUGCUUGGCUAAGGCUUGGAUGAUGCAUAGAGUCCCAGAGUUGGAAGGCAGAGUUGGAAAGCGGCUGAAUGGGGCUGUGGCCAUCCCGUGCCCAGCCCACACUCUAUAGAGUCCAUGCCAAGAGGCUGGCUGGCCCUCGAAGGCAGUACACUAUCCUUUUGUCUUCUGAGCCCUGAAGUUCAGUAUCAGCCUUGAAGAUUGGUUCUUCCUCCCGCUGACCAGAAUUCUCUUUCCCUAUAGUUCCUCCCUGACCUUGAAUCUAUGCCCUGGAGAGAACAGAACAAUGCAUUUCCUGUCUUCACAACACAGCCUCGUGGGUAAAAUAUACACAGGUUUAGUCUGGCAUGGACUUCCCAACCCUCCUCUUUUGAACUUUUCCUCAUCCUUCAAGGCUCAGUCAGUUCAUUGGUUGUCUUGGAAGAUAAACACCGAUUGCACAUCCCGGUGUUGUCUUGCGUUUCCUUGUCUGCCCCUCUCUCACAGCACCAUUCUGGGUUCCCAGCAUUCUCAGGCUUUGUCUGACUUCCUGGCUAGUUGGUAAGCUGGAUCUGGAGCUGUACCUUAUUAGAAUUUCAGUCUUCCACGUGCAGCUAUUAUGCGCCACUGGGUGCCACAGCAAAACAGACCGUACCGUAGAAUGCACAGAUGGCUCUAACCCCUGCUAUAGCAGAAGUCCCUAACUACACCCGUCUGUGAACCAAAACCGUAAGUCGGGGUUGUUCCUCAGGCAUGAAAAGCCCACGGUGAUGGGUCCUGGGUGAGCACAUCUUGUUCUUCAUGGCAUUUGUCAUGUAGCCAGGCUGGGUGAGCAUUUGACAGAUUGGUCCGUCUCUGUCCACAUGCGCUCUAAGAGGGGAAAUGGCACGGGGCAGGGGUGCAGGAGCCCAUCUGGUUGUGCCUCAUCUGUUCCACAAGCUUUUCCUUAUGUCCUGCUGUGCAGGCCUCCUCUGUGUGGCCACCUCAGCUCCCUAGAAGACAGAGAACCAUGUGGCUGAGAGGCCAGGAGAGCAAGAAAAGUGUGGAUGACCACCUAGCCUUCUCACCUAGCAUCUCAGCAUAGUCAGGACAAGUGUCGAUGGUGAUGUUGCUGCUUUCCCGACAAAUACAGCUUCCCCACAAACAGGUUUUAUUCUAGAAUUGGAAUACGCUAAAAAUUUCUCAUAGAAUCCUGGAGAGAGUCUCUUUAGCUGCAAGGGAUUUUUUAAAAGCAUUUUCCCCCUUGAUUCAUAAUGUUUUAAAUGAGGAGAAUCAUAAUUUAUUUCAAACACACCUUGUGUUGUUGUUGUUGUUAUUUAAUAAAGUACUUUAAGUUGAUUGAAAAUCCAUUUCCAUUGAAACUUAAUGUUUUUGGUAGCAGGCAGUUCCCCAGUCUUGGAGUAAGUUUGGUUUUUUGUUUUUCGUUUUUUUGUUGUUGUUGUUUUUUGUUGUUGUUGUUGUUGUUGAAUGCCCCCUUACCCAAUGGGGACAUUCUGGGGAUAUUAUAUUGUUUUCCCAAGAUUGUGUCUGGAUAAAGAUAGAAGCUAUUGUUGAAGCAUGACCUUGAGGGCAUACAACUGAGUUCUUCCCACCCCAUGAGUCACUAUGAGAGUUGGCACAAGGUUGAUGGGCGCAGAACAUACGCCCAUAUGCACAUACGCCUGGUCCCUUUUUGUGAUCUUGAAGACUUUGAUGACUGGUACUUUUGACAUCAGGGAUCCUGGCCACCAGCUCCAGCCAGAAACAGUUCUGUGUUCUUAUAUUUCAUUAAGUCUAUGGUUUUUUGUUUUGUUUUGUUUUUGCUUUUUUUGUUUGUUUUUUCUAGUCUAAAGGACUCAGCUUUUCUGUGUCUUGGUUGCUUCCUGAACACUGCUUUGGAAUAUGUGGGAUAGAUACAUCCAAACCAGCCCCUUCCUUACCACCAAGGGGUUGUGAUGUCUACAAUUUCUAGAAUCUGAUGGUUGGACAGAUCCAGGAGCCUUUUAAAAGACAACCUGCAUGGAGUGGAAUGUCUGAUGCUUACAGAUUUUUCUAGAAGUUUGUGACCAUAGGGAAGACAUAGUGAGAGGCUAAUCCAGAAGAAGCUAUGUGGGGCCUGAAGGCCAAGCCUCAUUAGCUUCCUGGUGAACAUUGCUCUGAGCAUGCCUCCCACCUCCCACACCUUGAGGGGUUUGUCGUUGUCCGAAGGCUUAUUUUAUCUAUUUAUGUGUGUCCAUGCCUGUGUGAAAGUCUGUGCACACAUGCGUGUGGAUGGGUAUCCCCAUGUAUAUGUGGAGCCUAGAAAAGGAGAUCAGAUCCCUUGGGAUGAAAAUGACACGAUAGGGAUGCACCCUGGUUACACUGGUCUAGGAUGUGAACUCCAGUCCUCAGGAUUAUACAGCAAGCUCUCUUAGCCAUUGAGCCAUCUCUCCAGUCCCUACCUAAAGUUUUGACCCAGAAGGGACAAUAGUUCACUUCAGCCUCAAUAGCAGUUCAGUGCUGCCCAAGACCUGACAAGAUCAGGGAGACAAUCCUAACAACAUUGCCUGUAACUUCAGAGGCCAGCCACAUUUGAGGAGGGUCAAGGGGCCCCAUGCCUUUUCCUGACUGGCUUAGAUGUUUCCAUGAGCUCUUUGGAUUCAUCCUUUACUAGAGUGGCUCACAGAACUCAGGAAAAUACCCCUGCAGCUCUAGUUUCCUGAUCAUGUAUGUGAGUCGAACAAGAGGCGCGCUAACCCUCACCUUUCCUUGUAGAUUCGGGCAUCUGAAUCUCCUACCACAUCAGUAGGAACUCCAAACAGGAAGUGCACUGACCUUUAGUGACCAGGGUAUUCAUUAGAGGUACUCAUUAACCGGAUAUGAUCGAUGAAACCAUUGACCAGUUGAUGGCCCUCAGUCUCCAAGCACUUUGGCCUCUCUAGGAAUCAGUCUGGAUAUUGUGGUUUGAGUAUGUUUCUCCAAAAGCCUUUGAAGACAUGGUCCCUAGCUGGUAAAUGUAGUCCAUUGAGAGGCCAUUGUAUCAUUCUGGCUUUUACUUCAACCGUGUAUUAACCCAUGGGUGGGUCCAUAGAGUGACAUUAUUGGGAGCUGGUGGUACCUAAGGCAUUACCAGAGAAAGACUGUCAGUUGAGAGUAUAAAGGGUAUCUUGUGCUCACCAUCUUUCUGUCUCACCCUCUGCUUCCUGGUUACCAUGAGGCAAGCAACUGUCCUGUGCCACAUACCCUUUCACCAGAGAACAGGCCCAGAAGGAACAGCCAGCUGUCCAUGAUCCGAAAUGCUUGACACUAUGAGUCGGAAUAAGCCUUUCUUCCUUAAGCUAUUUAUUUCUGGUGUUUUCCUCAUCACUGAGAAGACAGCUAACGUACAGGACAAGCUUCUAACACUCUAGUCACACUGUUGUGUUGAUGCUGUAUUUGUUUUGAGUUAUUUUAAUAAGUCCUUAUACCUCCACCUCCCUUCAAACCCUUAUUCCGCCCGGAUCUCUUCCAAGCCCCCAACACCAGGUAGGAAAGAAAGAAGGUUAGAGGGAGAAGGCGCAUAGACCUCUUUAGACUACUUCCUGCUGAUUAGGGACAUCAUAUUUCCUGGGACCAGUCCAGUCAUCAGCAUCAGGAUAUCUCCAACGUCUUCUUGUCAAACUGCAGCAACAGCAGCCAGGAGCAGCAAGGGAAGCAGCAACCUUCUUUCCCUGGCACCCCCAGCCCCAGCCCCAGCCCCAGCCCCAGCCCCAGCCCCCCCACCCCCACCCCCACCUCCACCUCCACCUCCACCACUACCAUUCUCGGGGCUCUGACAUUUAUUUCCUCUCCAGAGACCCCAGAACUAAAUUAUCUGCAGCUGGCAAAAAUCACGCCCCUCCUAGAGCAGGAGACAAUUAGUGGCUGUGGGCAAACUGAAGCAGCCUCCUAGUCCACACCUGGGAUUAAAACCAAAACACACUCUAUAAACUGGGUUUUUAAGGAACUCUCACUACAUUGUUGGUCUUCUGUGACCAACUCUAGCCAGAGUUCACUAGAAGUCGCGUCACUAAGUAUGUCAAAGAUAUUCCUACCACUUGGAAAAUGCCAAGGGUGUAGACACUCCGUGCUAAGAACCUAGGAGUAGACAAGCAAGAGUUAUUAUCCAGCCGAAAGCCCUAUCGUAGGCCUGACCUAGCUUUCCUUACAUGGAAGGAGCGUCUCCACCUUGCCUUCCUUUCAUAGAGUGACUUCCUGGGAAGAAUGUUCCAUGCUUCUCCAGUGCCAUUCUCAGUAGACCCCCAUCUCCCCGGCCAUCUCUGGAUUGGGGCAGGCCUUUGGAACUGGAGAAAAUCUGUGAUGGUUUGCUUCUCGAUGAGUAUAAACUAACCAAGAGACAGAGGAGGGGUGAGGGGCUCAGUACUAACCCAGUGAGGAGACCACAGGAGUUAAUUUGCAAAUUAGUAUCUUCUGAACAAAGAGAAAGCGAUGGCUUUGGGGGACGAGGGGGCCAAGCUCUGCAUAUAGGUAGACAUCACCCAAGCAUGCCAUGCCAUGCCAUUUACAAUGUUUAAGUAUAAGAUAAGUGGUGAGCACUUUCUGGAGCAUGCUCAGUUCAGAGCCAUUACCACAUGUUUAAAAUAAAAGACGAUGCGUGAAAAUAGAAGACUUAGUGUUACUGUGAGCGUAGUUCUCCCCAGGUCACCCGAAAUAAUUAACUUGAUGGUUUGAACCUAUAUUAGUAACUUUUUUGUUGUUGAUAAUGUAACAAAAUACCUGACAGGAGCAACUUAAGGGUGAGGAAAGGGUUAUUUAGGCUCAUAAUCCAUCCUGGUGGAGAAGAAGACUACUGGAUUGAACCCAGCUGUAACAUCUCGGGCUUGCAGCUGGUCCAUCAUGUGGCAAAGGGGAAGCAGAGAGCUUCAGCAGAACAGAGGUGGGGAUAGCCUUUGAAACUCGAGGCUCUGGCAGCCCACAUCAGCCAACUAGUCCCUGUGUUUCAAGGUUUCCAAAUUCCCUACCAGCUUGGGGACCAAGGGUUCAAACACAGCCCCCAUUUCACAUUCAGGCUAUAUCAGACAGUCUUGGCCGAAGUAAGAAACAAAGUUCCCUCUUUGAAGUUAAUGUCUUUUAAAAGACCAGCGGCUUACACUGUGCUAUGUCAUAACCCUUGAAAGCGCUUGCCUCCCGUAAUGCUAACAGCUUCUGCCUGCUGGAGAAGCCUGGUUAACGUUUCUGUCCCCUGAUGGGCUCAUAACUGCUCUUACUGGUUUGGGAAGCGGAGGCAUUCUUUGUCUCUGUGAACUGACCCUAUCCUCGUUUUGAAUGAGACAAUGGUUCUCGUCCUCACGCAGGGUAUAUAGCCCAUCUGAAGGUGUGGGAAAACAUAUUACCAUGACUUAAAAGGCUUCUUCUACAGUGAGUAUUUGGUAGCUUCUUCAGGAUAUACCCAAGGUGUUAACAGUGUCAUGUUAAACUUUAAACUUGUAUGAGUCCGUUUGUGCUCAUGAUGUGAUUGGUGUCUUGCUAACUUCUUUAAAAAAAAAAAUCCUGUAUCUCAUGUUUGAGAGCAGGCCUUCCAUCUACUAACACUGGCAGAGCCAUAAUGAGACCAGGGAUAGACCAGGGCCUGUCAUCUGACUUCUGCCGUGUGUGUUCUACCUGAGACGACUCUAGCAUUGCAAUGCUGGCACUGCCUUGAGGACAGGGACUUUACUGCCCAGGUAGAGGGUGAGCCGAAUGGUGGUUUCUGGAGGGCUUUGCUGGGCUCCUUUGGUCUCUGCCAACUUCAGAAUGCUUCCUUUUCGGAGAAUGCUCAGCGACAACCUGGAAUUUGUUUAAUUGCUGAGUGGAGAGAUUUCGCCCCCCAGCACUUGGAGAUAAUUAGAACACGAUGUAGAUUGUGUAUGCUCUGUAUAAUGUGUAAUUACAGAUGGGUGGAGACGACGGAUUUUGGAGAGCAAGGCUUUGUCACGCAGCGGAUCUGGUGCGUGAAAACACGGUUGUGAAAAGUCCCACUUAACUCGUUUAGUACCGUGAGCCUCCAUGGGGCAUCACCUGUCCUCUGUGUGGUCUUUAAACACCGUGUGGGUAAAGGUGAGGACAGAGGCGCCUGGCGUUAAAGGGAAAUGCUUUUCUUUUCUUUUCUUUUCUUUUUUUUUCCUGUGUAGUUGAACCCUAAUCAGUUUAUGGUGAGAUGGAGAGGAGGCCAGUCGACAACACAGGUAUUGUCAGAGGCCAUGACGUUUCAAAAUCAGCCUCUCAGGAGGAAAGACAGAACACCCAGAUUUUUUUUUCCUUUUCCUCCAUAAAUCUGCUACCAGAUAAAAGUAUGCAUUUCUCGGGAUCUUUGUGCCUGAAUGGGGUCCCCAUGAUCACAUCUGCCCUCCAUGGGGUGGACAUUGGGAGUGUUCUUUUCCACAAAGCCUGAUAUAAAUUAAAGGAAGUGAAGGACUCUUCAGCUAGAUACAACAGGGGAAUAGUCGGUAAAUCAGAUGUAAACCUCCCUGUGGAAUUCACUUUGGCAUUUUGAAGGUGCCCUGAUGCCAGCACGCUCAUACGGACGGGAUGGAUCCCUGUUCUUGGCUACUCGGUACAAGCAGCCCAGGUGCCAAACUCUGGGAUAUAGAAGGCAGGCGGUUCCCUGAAGAUUUUGAUCAUAAAGUUCCAGAAGAAAAUGCAUACCCAGGAAAAAGCCAAGGGGUUGUGAUUUCAAAUACCAUAUUUGGAAUUCUGCCGAAAUACUUCAGAAGUAAUAAGAUCUCACGUGUAUGAAGAGGUAGGCUGUGGACCCUUUGGAAGGGUUUGAAACAUGGUAACAUCUCUGUUUGGGUUGGACAAAGUCUGAUCCAGCCCAGAUCAGAGACAGGCUGGAAUCUCUUAGCUCUAUUUUGGCUGAGAACAUCUGUGAUUCUGGGAAAUGCAGUUUUCUCUAAAAAUAAUUUAUUUUAUGCUGGUAGGGUUUCUUGGAGUCUUCAUCUAAAGCAUAACACACAUAAUGCUUUUUUUUUAUAUUUUAGGUUUUGUUUGUUACCUUAAAUCAUCUCCUUAAUUUUUUUUUUAAACUAACACGACGACUUAAAAACAAUUGACCUUUUAUUUUAUUAACGGCAUUUGGGUUUUAAAGUUAGGUCAUCUGAUUUACUGGGGCAGAAUUUUCUAGCAAGCUGCAUUUCCGUUUUUAUACACAAGGGAGAGCUAAGGCCCUAGAAAAUAGAUGUAGGUCUCACCACAUUCCAUCUCGGGGUGGACUGACUGAACUAAUUAAUGGUGCUAAGAGUUGUGAAUUAUUCGGGGGAAAUAUUUGACAGUAGUAAAGGAAUUUUAAUAACUUCCAACAGCUUUUAUUUUAUGUGCACUGGCCAGAUAGCUUUAACAGCCACUCAGCCCCAGUGUGUUUCCCUUUGUUAGAAUUCAACAGGGUACAUUGAACAGGAGUAGCCCUCAGAGGGCUGGCAAAAAUAAACAGCAGAGGUUCAGAGGCAGACAGACGGGGCAAAUGAUUGAUUUUUCUUCUUUCCUUCUCUCUUUCUUUCUUUCUUUCUUUCUUUCUUUCUUUCUUUCUCUCUUUCUUUGUUUUUUAAACCUUAAUGCCUAGAAUUUCUGGUCUUGAAUUUCAUUGUUAGAAAUCAGGAUUUAGUUCCCAAAUCAAACCCAGUCAUCAAAAAGAACUGUGGAAAAUUGCCCUGACCUCACAGAUACAAAGAGAUCCAGAAAGUUCAUAUUCUCUAGAGAAGGAAAAAAAAAUUCAUUUGUUUCUGUGGAGAAAGGAAAAGUUUGGAAAUGUGUUUUUGCUUAUUUUUUUUAAUCGAGAUUUGGUGUUUAAUCCUGUGAGUUUAUUUAUAUAUUUAUUCAUUUAAAAUCAAUGAGGUGAGAUGACUGAAGUCGUCCUUCUUAUAGACAGGCAGAUGGCAGAGUUUGGUGCCAGCCUGGUCCAUAUAGCAAGUUCCAAGCCAGUCAAGGCAACAUAGAAAGACUGUCUCACAAAACAAAACAAAACACAAACACAAACAACCCAGUAAAUAGUCGGUAAGGAUUGGGGCAAGCACUGUUUGGGGAGAAUCAAUCAAGGCAGGGCAACUCCAUUUUUUCUGGAGAAAGGCACAAUGUAAGGCCACUUGCUCUCCAAGCUCCGAGAAAGUAAGCCUUGGGAUCAGCAGGGGUUCAACUCCACCUCAUGCCCCCCCCCCCCCCCCCGCUACCAUUUGAACUUCUGGGAGCUUUCUUUGUUUUGUUUUGUUGUAAUUUAAUUUAACUUAAUUUUAUAAAAUGUUCCAUGAGGAGGCAUUCUGUGUUUGAAUGUGCCUUACACAAGAACCAGGAUCCUAAAAUAUGAGAAUAGACUUUUAAGAAAGAAGGGAGUGGGUGGGUGGAUGGGGAGCACCCUUAUAGAAGCAGGGGGAGGGAGGAUGGGAUGGGGGUUUCCAGAGGGGAAAGGGGAUAACAUUUGAAAUGUAAAUAAAUAAAAUACCCGAUUUAAAAAAAAAGACUCAAAAGUUUCUAAGAAAAUCCAAAUGGGUAAUAGAAGAAGAAAAAAAGUUCUGUUGUGUGUCUUGAGGAGAUGUUUUGGGGUAACAGGAGAAAGGUUAGAGUGAGGAGCUUAAACAGGAGGGUGUGCUUACUUACUGAUGAUGUCCCAGCAUCUGGCCACAAGCGUCUCCACUCAUGCCAGCCAACCUGAGUUCACCCAGCAGUUAACUGGCUCUGGCUAGUUCUCAUUGAACUGCUUGCCAACUUACCCUCACCCAGCCAAUGAUGACCUUUACUUCGGUUUUCAGGUUAGACCAUGCCUACAGAAAGAAUGUGAGAGCUGGCAGCCAUGGAGUGCGAGCCUGGGCCUGCUGCUACCUAAGUGGUCUUUGAAAGGCUUUGCUCCAGUGUGAGGAGGGCAUGUGGAAGCUGGCUUCAUGCAGGCAGGAAAGGGCAGAAGGACCAGAACCUGCCUGUAUUCCAGAUAGUUUUCGGACUUCUAGCACACAGAACCCUGCAAGUACAUAUGUACUGUUUGUAAGCUCUUGUUUGGGGUCUCCAAAAGAAAGCAGGGCCAAUACAGAGAAAGCCUCUGAUUAUAGGCACUGGUUUGUGAUUCUGGGAGUUUGACUUCCAAGAGGUGCCAGCUAUCUGCUAGGACACAGGGAAGCUAGGGAUGUGGCUUUAGUCCAAAUCUAAUACCCCAUGCAUGAGGGUAGGAACACAUUGUCAUAAGUCCUGAACCCCAGAGGCCUGAGAAUCAGAAGUCUGGUACCCAGUAUCCAAUAUUCAUGAACUGAAUGGCUGGAAAAGGAGAAUCCCUCUUCCCUCGUCUCUCUUUUUCUACCCCAGCCCUCAGUGGAUUGGACAGAUAGUCACAUGGCUGGUUUCGCUGAUUAAAAACUUGUCUUGUUUCAGAAACACUCACAAACAUAUUUUUGAAUGGUGUAUUCCCAGCCAUGUGAAAAUCCCUUAGAUCUGUCAAGUUGACAUACCAUCACAUUAGUGUGGUCCCCCCUCACCCCCACUCUACCCAGUCUCCCCUAGGCUACCCCAUCCCUAUCCCUGGUACUUUGCUAUCGAAGCCCAAAGGAAAAUGUGGGUCAUCUGCAGCUUUGAUUGGAGGAGCCUUUUCCAUCCACUGUCUAGAGGGAACCUCCCAAGUCCCAGGAAGGUGCAUUUGCCUUCCUGUUUAUUGUGACUUUUCAAUCAUGAUCCCCUCCUGCUUUGUCAUCUACGAGGACAUGAGCAGGAACUGUCUAAGCGCUGAUGCAGUGAUUGUGUAUUGAAGACUGAUUACGUUUUGUAGACGUGUUUGCAUAUGGGAAGAGUGUUAAGUUGUUACUCCGCACAGCCACAGCUGGCCACAUUUAUUAAUGGCAAUUAAGAGGCAGGCUCGAGAGGCGCUCUCAGCGAUGAUAUUGCAGUCAGCUACUUGCGAGGACUGGUAAAGAGUGGAUCUCCAAGCACACGAGACGUGAGAAUUAGCAGAGAUGAGAAGACACUGUGACACACUCCAACCUUUGUAAGGUCUCUAACUGUUCGGGAAAGGAGCAGGUGUUGAGCAACAUGGAUUCUGCAUAAUGCCACCAUGUUGGCAUCAACCCUCCGGGGAUGAUACAUAAGUGUCUCUGCCUUCCGACUGCUAGGGGAGGGAAGGGCUGCUGCCUCCACAGGCUGCGUUUGUCUUCCUACUGCUGUUGGGAGACUCCAUCCUUCCCGACAGACAGCAACAGCUGGGCAUGUGUGUUACCUGUCAGCCCCUGUUUGGCCUUGAGAGAAGGAAAAAUACAGCCUACACGUUCACUGACAAACAGGAGCUCGAGUGCCGAGUAAUAAGGAUUGGGCAUGUGACAUGUUCAGAUUUCCUGGCACUGUAGAGGGUGACUCUCUUUGUUCAGGUUGCCCAGAGGAUACAGAAGGAACCUUUUAGAAGAAAAGGAUGCUCUGACCGCCCUGCCUACACCUUCCCCCCCAGCCUCCCCUACAUACACACUCUGCCAUUGGAGAGUAGAACCCAAACUUCUACCUGAUCUUAAAGGCCAUGGCCUUCUGCUCCCUUGCUCUUGGCUGACCCACAGGACUGUCCUGGUUCUUCAUAUCCUCUGUCCCAGGUCUCUACUUCUCCUUGUCCAGAUGAGCUCCUUAGAGACCCUUGUUAAAUGGUGCUUGUUACUGUUAUUUGAGGUACACUGUUUUCAGUGGCGCUGCCACUGCCAAAAGGAUACCUUACUGGUCUCUCCCAUCAGUCCUGAGCUCCGGGGACAGCCAGGGUCUCGACUAGUGUACCUCAGGGACUAGAGUAGCACCACCAUCGUAGGAAAGACUUACUAGGUGUGUGAAUAAGUGAAUGUGGUUGCAGGUGGAGCUAGGGUGGGAGGUUUGACUGCAGCCCCCCUUAUCCUUUCGACAAAGCCGGUAGAAUGAUGUGUUUUCUUUUUACUAAUGCACAUCAGGGUAGCCAUUGCUGGCAUUUUUCCAGCGAUAUUCUAGUGACCCAUGCCUUCAUAAAGAUUUGCUCCCUAAAAGAAUCCUUUGACACACAAGUGCCCUUGCUCUUUUCUCAUCGCAAAUGUGAAGGCUCCAGGUCCUUCCAGAAGCAUGGGUGAGGACUGUUCUAGAUCCUUCCAGAAGCAUGGGUGAGAACUAUUCCAGGUCUUUCCAGAAGGAUGGGUGAGGACUGCUCCAGCGUCCUUCCAGAAGCAUGGGUGAGGACUGCUCCAGCGUCCUUCCAGAAGCAUGGGUGAGGACUGCUCCAGGUCCUUCCAGAAGCAUGGGUGAGGUCUGCUCCAGCGUCCUUCCAGAAGCAUGGGUGAGGACUGUUCCAAGUCCUUCCAGAAGCAUGGGUGAGGACUGUUUUACAAUGCAUGGAAAGUACAACUGCUGCUACCACCCAGCUAUGGCUCAGAAUUCCUGCCAGGUUCUCCACCAGCUGCCCUCCAGCCUGAACUCCUAUGUCCUCCCCAGCAAAAGCUGGGUUAAUCUCAACUACCUUAAAGUGGGAAACACGAAGUGCUAAAUGGACCAGCUGUUCCUCUUUUCCUUCAGUGAAAGUGUCAUCAAUGAACGUGCAGAUUUUUAAGUGUGACACCAUGACGCUUACUGUAUAUAUGGCUUCCUCCCUCCUUCUCAUUAACAAAAGAAUGGUCAGAAUCAAGGAAAUCUGUGGACCCAGACCAUGACAUUUUGCUUUAGGCAAAGCUUGAUUCUUGUCCUGACCUUCCUGCUGAAACAUAAUAUUGAAGGUCAUCGUGCUCAGAGCCCAUCACAGAAAUCACAUUCCUAACAUAUGACACUGGUUUUUGUUUUUUUAAGAUUAUCUUGCAGAUGAAUCUUGAAUCUUUUCACAGACUUUUUUUUUUUAAAUUGAGCCUCGUGGGGACGGAUUUCGACACUUCCUCUAUUCUACCGCUGCUCCUGAUGGCAUAUUAAGAGAAUGUGGGUCAGGCAGCUAGAUCGCCACGUGACAGACACAUCUCUUCACUUCCUGGUGACUCAGUUUCCCUGUCUGCACACUGGAGUCAUAAAAUGGGGUUAAGGGUAGACAGAGCCCCUCCAUCCUGCCUUGUGAUUCGUCAGCAUUGCCUUUGGUGACCACAGAGGGUGAUUCAGGCUUGUCCUGGGCCCCAUCCAAUUCUAUGACACUCAGUUCUUGGGGACUUAGUACCCAGAGAUGUUUCUUUGUUCUUCUUCUUGAUCAUAUAGAGUUGACAAGGGUGCUCUGUUGUGACUGUGGACUUUGUAACUGAUCCCUUGAGCAGGCUUCAGGGACACCCUGGUUAUGAUAUGCAUGGCAUUCACAAAGAUGAGACCAGUCCUGUGUUAUGAUGGAUCAUGGCAGGUGAGGUGCCAACAUGAUAGAAUAAUGAAGGUAGCAGCUGCUGGCACAGACCUGCUCCUUAUAGGGAGUUGAGACUUCGUCAAUUUUGCACAGACCAAGAUUAGGGAUUGUCAAGAAACAGCCCCCCGGUCCUUUUUACAAUUUCCUGCUCACUGUUGCCUAGUAGAGAAUACCAGAUUUUUAAAUAGAUAUAUCAUGUUCAUCAAAAACAUCAAGGUGUCCCCCAGAUUACCAAGAUCAAAUCCACUUGCGUUCACUUUAAAAAAACAAACAAACAACAACAACAAAAAAAAAACAAACAGUACCUUAGUGACAUGUUACAGACGGCCAUGUUAUUCACAGAUCUCACAUCCACAGAAUCAACCAAUCAAAAAUCAAAAUGUUUUUUAAAACAUGUCUGUAUUGAACAUAUACUAAACUAGAUGUGUGUCAUUAGUCCUAAAUAAUGUUGAAUAGCAUUUGUAUCAUAUUAGGGAAUAUAAGAAAAUCCACAGGUAGUGAUGAUUCUAGGCUCUGAGAGGUUUUGCCUAGGUUACGUAUGAAUACUAUGCUGCUUUCUGUAAGAGACUUGAAAACAAAACAAAAAGGAAAGUACAGAAGAGUAGAAGAAAGAGAACGGAGUGACCUAGAAUCUAGCUGACCCUUGACCUUUGUGUAUGUUGGAGAAAGAGCCAAGGGAAAAAAAAAUCCUAUAAAAAGGCCAUUUGGGCGGCAUUUUGCAUUCCAGGUUAUUAUCAACCUCUUGUAAAGCUCCACACUUGGCCGUAGCUCUAGCCAGCCCCACCUGAGAUGCCCAUCAAGCCUCAGCUUGUUGGUGGCAUUUACCUAGAGAAGCCUGCUUUCCAGACCCGAGGUCUAGCAGACUGCCGUCUGUAUUUAGGGGCACUGAAGCAUGCCUUCAUGCCCCUGAACAGAGCUUUGGUGUCUCACAGGGUGUCUGUCCUCCUUUCAGAGUACCAUUUGCCUUUCUUACGUUAUACAGUUGGGGGUGUUGUUUUGGCUUGUCUGUUUUUAGUUGUUAGGAAAGGGUGCAAAACAUAAUCUCUUUUCCCCAAGACUAACUUCUUAACAAAAAUUCACCCCCGUAGCAUUUUUAGCUUUUGUUGUUAUUGUUUUGUUUAUUUGCUUGCUUGCUUGUUGCAACAGAGUCUCUCUAUGUAGUCGUGACUAUCUGGGAGCUCCCCAUAUACAGCAGGGUGGCCUCGAACUCACAGAGAUCCACUCGCCUCUGCCACCAGCGUGCUGAGAUUAGAGGUGUAUAUGUCACCGUAUCUAGUAGCAUUUUUUUAAGUGAUCCAUUGGUGAGCUACCCCUAUCCCACAGGACCGGUUUGGGCAUGAAUCAGGCCCAUUCUCUGGGAUCUUCUCCUUCCCGCCCUUCUCUGUGUCAGACAAUGCCAGGCUAGAUGCUGUAAAUACAUGCCACCAUUUAAUCACCAAAAGGCUUGGAAUCGAUACGAUUUCUCCCAUUUUACAGAUGAGGACUCACCCCACAGGCCUAGAACUGGGAGCCUUUUGUUCAUGACCGGUGUUGUCUGUUGAGUUGACUGUUUCAGUGUUGAAUCUGCUGCCUUUUCUAUUUCGAUAACGAAUGUCUGAGUUUGUAAAAGAUAAGUGAUUCCUACCUCUGUUGAUGGUCACAUGGCCUAUGUGUUCUGUCUUGGGAGACAGAGCUGGAAGCAGACGAGACACAGGAGGUUGUGAAAACCUUGGAGGGAUCGUCCUGGAGAUCAAGAUAGCCUCCUGAGGUGAACCUGAGACCUCUCCAGACUGUUAGUUUGGUCACUACUACUGAGAAGCUUCUUUGUAGAUUUUUUUUUUUUACUGCUAGGGCACUGGGCUUUUUAUGCCUGUAGGUCAGUGUCUCCACCCUAGUUUGUUUUGUUUCUGGGGAAGCUGAGCCCUUCCUUGCCUGCCUUCCACUGUACCUUGCUCAGUCAUGACACAGACACUACUCUGCCUUUGAGCUGAGGGCUUCAUUACUUCUCAGCUCAGAGAGGGCAAUGUCACCUGUAGGCACAGAUUUUUUUAUUUUUUAUUUUUAUUUAUUUAUUUAUUUUUUAGUGUUGUUCCAUUCUUAAAGCUAAAACAAGUCAGAAGGGUGUAUGAGUACCUGUUAAAAUAACUGGAGUAAAAUGGGGUAGGUUGCAAUGGGAUAUCGCAGUAAGGUAAACAAAAACCACCCAGCCCUCUCUAUCUGGCUCACCUUAUUUAUCUGACUUGUUUUAGUUCAUCCCACAGUGCAUGGCCUCUGAAUUAAUCACUGAAGCCUGGUGUUAAAGUUGGGUUCCUUGGGAAGUCCUUGUUGUAGAGGAAGCAGAGGAGUAAAUAAAGACUUAUUUUACUUCAGUGAGACAGCAAGCAGAGUAAAUACUUUAAGUCAGCGAGACGGUGAGCAAGUUGUUGAUCCGAGUGCUGGUGGAAGCUAAUUGGGUUAAAAUGACUCUCCAAAAAGUUUUUCCUUGCAGCUGGAGAGAUGGCUCAGCGGUUAAGAGCACUGGCUGCUCUUUCCAGAGGUCCCGAGUCCAAUUCCCAAUAACCACAUGGUGGCUCACAAGCCAUCUGUAAUGGGAUUUGAUGCCCUCUUCUGUCCGAUCCCCCCCCUCUUCUUUCAUGCAAAUGGGGCACUCAUACACAUACAAUACACAAAUAAAUCUUUUUUUAAAAAAAAGUUUUUCCUGAUAAGAGAUUCAGCCAGGAUUUCAAACCAAAAUAAACUAUCUACCAACAAAAUUAAACCAACAUAAUGAGCUCGCUGAUGUCUGAAAACAUUGUGGGAGGAGGGGCCAGGUUGCAUAGGACAAUGGUAUUUUAACCCUUAAGAGGUGUGUAUGAUUUGGACAGCAAAGAAGGAAUCGGAGUCGAAUUCUAGGCUCACAGAAGCCUAUGAAGGCUUGGAAAGAUGUGACUCCUUGGCUGUGGUCCCGUGUGUUGGAAGCAGGGUUUUUAUGAGGACAAGUAGAGAGGGCAAGAUGGGGUGGGAUCAGCCCUGGAAGCUCUGCUCCACGGAAGAAUGUGGGUUUUUCUCCUGGUCUGCAGGAAGAGCAUGUUUUAGACGGGAGAAUGAAUGGAUGCUCCCACCGUCUUAGGUGGAGACAGAACUGUUUGCAAUGUCAAGGUAAACGUAUUAAAAGUAGGGAGUUGAGAGUGGCUCACCUGCUCAAAAUGGCAGCCAUUUUCCAGAGCAAAGGUCCAUGGGUCAUUUCAGAGACGACCUCUGGAUAACAGAGGGCAUGAUGCUCCCUUGGGUGGGUCAGAAAGACCGGCAGUGCAGGAAGCAGAGAGGGGAAGGAACAGUGUCGGGGAAAGCAAAGUAAGAAAGGAUUAGAGGAGACAGAUGUGGGAAACACGAGCCUUUGAGCAACUCUUGGGGAAAACAAAACAACAACAACAAUAACAAAAAAAAAAACCAAAAAAAAAAAAAAAAAAAAAAAAAAAAACCCUGUGGCCUUCCAAGUAUACUGUGGUUUCUGAAAGUCAACUGGUCAGUAACUGGGCUGAAAGUGUAACAGUGAAGGGAGGGAAUGUGGUCAGCAACCAGCCAUGUGGUGAGGAGACGGAAAACCUUGUGUUUCUGACUUAGCGUUUGGAAGAGCUACAGCAAACACACUGCAUACCUGUGUACAGUUACGGGAGUUACGGGAGUUUAGACCCGGCACCUUAGGUCAGAGUAGGGCUCUCAAAGGUAGGAGGGAAUACAGGCUGCAGUGGGAACACACUGGCUUUGGGUUUCUGUUGCUUGAAGAACAUUCACACUGCUGAUGUCUUACUGCAGACCCCUGUCCCAAAUGCCUCAAGCCGUGCAUGUUAUAAAUGAGAGCAGUCUAUUUUUCAUAGCUCUGGAGGCUAAAAGAAUCCUCUUAAGGUCCCAGCAGACACUACUGGGUGGUUCUGCCUCCUGUUCACAGGCGGCUCCUUGUGGUGGUCUCUUGUGGUGCACAGGACCAGGGAGCACAGUAGAGCCUGUUUGUAAGGACACCAGUCUAGCCAGAGUCUCUGCCUUCAUGAACUAUCAGGCCCCCAGUUGUCACACCUUAUAUAUUGGCGUGGGGUUGGGGGGUAGGGUUCCAGCUUAUGACUUCUGAGAUUGGGUAAGCUCAAGGCUCUGGGUUGGAGGCACAUGGGCUCGAGCUGGAUAAGCUAACCAGAGGAGAGGACCAGAAGCAGGACAGAAGAAGAGGGUGAAAAAGACCGAGGGCCCAUCAAAUAGAAUGUGCCCCAUACCUGUUUAGAGGGGACAAGACAGAGUGGGAUAUCGCUCAGUGGUAGCCACUUAGUGUGUAUUAAGCCCUAAAUUUAACCCUUAGCCUUGGGGGUCGGUGCUGUAGCAUCUGGGUAUUACGUCUUUUACAGUAACAUAUUUAAAAAGGAAAAGGAACUAAACAGCAACAAGAGCAGGCAGGGUAAGGUGACCCCUUGUUCUCAAAAGCACAAAGGCAUCUCAUAGCUGUUCAGCAAGAACCAGUGUACACUGGCCGGAGCAAGCCACUAGGGAGGUGAGAAGAGAGACAAGUGAGGCCCCACAGGACAUCACAGACCGACUGAUGUGGUAAAGGCUUUGGCGGGGGACUCAGGUGCAUCCAGUUGCCAUGUUCUGACGGAGGUUGCGGUCCCACUCCGGUCCCCUGACCAGCACACUCUGCAGUCUUCCCUGUAGAAGUAACAGCCACUGUGUGUUACUUAGGAUUCCCGGCUUGGGUGUUCUCAAAGCAAGUGAGAAACUGACCGUACAACAGCAUACUGGGAGGCUGGAGAGAUGGCUCAGCGGUUAAGAGUGCUGACUGUUCCUCUAGAGGUCCUAAGUUCAAAUCCCAACAACCACAUGGUGGCUCACAACCAUCUGUAAUGGGAUCUGAUGCCUUCUUCUGGUGUGUCUGAAGACAGCUGCAGUGGACUUAUAUAUAAAUAAGUCUUUUUUUUUAAAAAAAGCAUGCUGAGUACAGACUCCUCUCAAAUUCAAGCAGCCACACCUCUCCCGAUCCAGUGGCGGUAUUGUUUUGAAAGAGAUAUACCUCUUUUGGAAUCUUUGAUGUUCACCUGUUUAGAAGUAAGAAUCUUUUUACUCGUUAGCGUUACAUGUUUUAUGAUAUAUGGGGAAGGGUGCCUGUGUGCCCUGGUAUGUGUGCAGGGGGCUGGAGAACAACUUUGUGGAGUCGGCUCUCUCCUCCUGCCUUCAUGUGGGAUCCCGAGUAGAACGUAGGUCACCAGACCUGGAGGCAAACAGUUUUACCUGCCUAGCUCUCUUGCCAGCCACGCUCCAAACCUUAUUUCCUUCCUCAGUCAUAUUUCAUUAAUUUAUAUAACACCCAAAAGAAUCCCGCUGUUUUGUGCCAGCGCUUUUGGGAGCACAGAAAGUGUCUGUGAACCAAGUCAGAGAGACUCUGGCAGGAAGACUCUGCUGGGACAGCAUCCUCAGAGUCAGUGCUAAGGCUCUUGAUGUCAGAAUCACUGAAGCUCAGAGACGAGGCAACUGUUCUAUACAUGUGUCCCUGCCAAGCCUGUCCCCAGGUUUGUCUGUCUUCUGUGACGUAGUUGACUUUGUCCUUGAGUGUCUGGUACCUCCUUCUUCCCACCUUGACUUCAGGUACAGAUUCCUAGCAAACCUGCCCGGCAGCCCUGCCCAGGGUUAGAGUACCAGCAGGCUCCUUCGGGGUCAUGGGGUUCUUUGCAAGACCUAGCCAUAUUUAACGCUGCCUCUUAUUUCUUUGUGCUUCAGAAUUACACACUGACUUGAAAGUUUACUAGGGAGCAGGUAUUGUCUGCAAUGUAUGUACGGCUCUCAGUUCACCAAGACCCAAAAUGUAUUGCUUUAUUAAGGCAAUAUUACUCCAUAUCCUGAGUAAAAAGUGUGUGAUCUCAUAGUCUUUCUUGCCCUGUUCCUCCAGUAAUAUAUAAAUAGGUAUGUAUGUAUGUAUGUAUGUAUGUAUGUAUGUAUAUAUACACACAUUUGCAUGUAUAUGAACAUAUAGUAACAUAGUUAACUAUAAUGCAUGUCUUUUAUGUGAGGAAUUCAGUCUCCCUGGGACCAGCUCCUCCCCCUAAUUCUCUAUGUACUUUGAACCCUGUUUUUCUCUACUUAUUUAUGUUUUCUAUGUGUCCAUUUCUCUGGCCUAGGUGUAAUCCCAUUCAGCUUCUCCUCCCAUGGCAGCUGAAUAUCCAGUCUCUCUUACUUAUGUUCUUUAGAAACUCUUAGGACACCUUGAAAACCAGAGAUCUUUAGGUGAGACCAGGACAAGGAGAAGUUGCCUGACUUAGGACAUGGCUGCCCAGGCAACUGGUGUAGAGUAUGGACCAGUUUCCCUUCCAUUAAAGGAUAGCCUGAAGGACAAAGCUUUCAUCGGGUAUUCAAAAGGAUGCGCACACACAUAAGGUGCCCCGUAGGUAUAUUUCCAUCACUAGGGUACCAUUGAGCACUACUUCCCAGCCACACAUUUCAGAUGCCACACUGCAUUAGUUAUUAAUGACAACAUACCAUACACUAUAGUUGAAGCCACCACAGGGAGUUUUCACAGCUCUGGGGACUGACCAGGUCAUACUAAGGUACAGCAUCUUUGGCUUCUCCUGAGCCCCUCUCUGUCUUAGAGAUGCUUAUCUGCUUUCCCAGGGCUGUCCUUGUGUGUGCUUGGGUACAACAGUCUUAUUAAAUCAGAGCCCAUUUACAUGACUUCAUUUUCUGAUUUUUGACUUUAUUACCCCUCUAAAGGUGCCAUCUCCUAGUGCAGCCCCAGUCUGAGGUGUUGGGGAUUAGGACCCCAGUGGGUGACUUUUAGACCAUACACCAUGGUUGUAGCACAUAUGAAUUAUUGUGCAUAAAGCUCAGGUGGUGGUGUUAGCCUUUCAGCUGUGACUCUUUCCUUUCAAACACUGCUGCUGAUCUAUUUGUGAGUAUCUAGCUGUGUAUCAGCACAUGGCUAGGCAUGAAAUUAUUUUGCCUCCUCCUUGUCUCCCAGCCAUAAACCUGUGUGAUAUUUUACCAGUAUAGAUCAACAGAAGAGAGGGUUGGGCACGAAAGAUGAACAUACAGUAUAGAAACAAGAAGUUAUUCCAAAACUUAAAGUGGCUGUGUUAGGAGAUUUGAACUGGCAACUCUCCCUCCUCCCUCCCCGUGGCUACUCAUGGGCAUUGUUCACAUCCACUGCAAGUAGAGCAAGUGCUCCGUUCUUAGCACGGACUCCAUGUUUUAGUGCCUUCAUCCUCAGUGGGUGAAUACAUACACUAGAGAGUCAUGACAUGUGAGCCUGGAUCAGGGCUCCGUAACUCAUGGUCCAGCCCAACCCAGAGAAGCCUGGAAGAGAUGGUUUGGCUCAAGCCUUGCACUCAUGAAGGUGGCUUGGUGUACCUUUCUUGAGGUGAUCUCCACGUGUGCUCAGGGUCUUAAUCUUGUACUUUUCCUGACGGUGUUGACAAUGACUUUGUACCAAAAAAUAUAUUACUCCAUCUUGGUAUUUCCUCCAAGUACAGAUGUCCUAGGCCCUCCCACAGGGAUUUGCCCAAAGGAAAAAUAACUAGAGGUCUUGGCAAUGUCUGAGUUGAUAGUUGAAUUUUAUUUCUUAUUAUUGCCCACUGCUUCUCUAAGGCUCUCUCAGAGUAAUGGAUUCUCCCUUUAGUUGUGCACAUGUGAGCAUGUGAGCAGCUGUAAGUACAAAGGUUGUUGUUGGUGGUGGUGGUGGUAAUGGUGUGUGUGUGCGCUUGGUGGGGUCCUCUGGGCUAGAUGUUUGAAAGCUCCUAUCUACGAAAUGUUAUUCUCUAAGUAGAUUGUUGAACCUUGUACUGGCUGGUUUUGUGUGUCAACUUGACACAAACUGGAGUUAUCACAAAGGAGUCUCUUUGAGGAAAUGUCUCCAUGAGAUCCAGCUGUAAGGCAUUUUUCUCAACUAGUGAUCAAGGGCGGGAAAGGCCUAGCCCAUUGUGGGUGGUGCCAUCCCUGGACUGGUAGUCUUUGGGUUCUGUAUGUGAGAAAGCAAGCUGAGCAAGCCAGGGGGAAGCAAGGCAGUAAGUAACAUCCCUCCAUGGCCUCUGCAUCAGCUCCUGCUUCCCCACCUGCUUGAGUUCCAGUCCUGACUUCCUUUGGUGAUGAACAGCAAUGUAGAAGUGUAAGCUGAAUAAACCCUUUUCUCCCAACUUGCUUCUUGGUCGUGAUGUGUGCGCAGGAAACCCCAAGACAAGCUUCAAAGGUGGGGUGGAGGGUGGGAAUUUGAAGCAGGGUUUGGGGUGUGUAGCUCAGGGUGGCCUUGAAUUUGGGAUCAGCCUCCUAGAUUCUGAGAAUAGAAGUGUGUGCCACCAUACCUGGCCUGUGAAUAGUUCUUAGAGGCUUGAAAUAACUUUGCCUCUCCCUAUAUUAGUUUUCCUGUUUUAAAUUCCACAUUGAAACGAUGUACUUAAUAUACUUCAGUUCUGUUUGUCCCCUGCCCUCUGCCCCUCAACUCCCACCCAGGCUCUUUUUUUUUUCCCGGAGCUGGGGACCGAACCCAGGGCCUUGCGCUUGCUAGGCAAACACUCUACCACUGAGCUAAAUCCCCAACCCCCCACCCAGGCUCUUUAAAUGUCUCCCAAGGCCACCAGAGCCUAGGAAGCGCCUUGAUUCAUUUUGCUUUAAUAGUGACCCCAGGCUAUUGAACAAAAACUGAAAAACUUACUUUGCCAGUCAUGCAUUAAGCCAAGGUUGCUCCCUUCCCAUCUAGGUCUAGACCAGCACUGUAUGCUUAGUUCAGGGAGAACUGCACAUGCACUUGACUUUCAAGUUUCCUGACAGCAAAUACUUGAAAUAAGUGAAUGAAGCUGGGCGUGGUGGCACACACGCCUUUAAUCCCAGUGCUUGGGAGGCAGAGGAAGGCAGAUCUCUGUGAGUUUGAGGCCAGAUCCCGAACAAAUUCAGAACAGCCAGGGCUGGUUAUACUGAGAAACCCUGUCUCAAAAAAACAAAGACAAAAUAACAAAACAAAAUGAAGAGAAAUAAUGGAUGGUUUUAUGCCUGCAAUCACAGCACUCUGGAGCCUGAGGCAGGAGGAUUGCUAGUUCAAGGCCAGCUCGGGCUACAUGUUCCAGACCCCAUCUCCAACUGAUGUAAAUGGGGAUCUGUCUAUUGAGUGAACGUAUCAUUAUUCUGCUGUUCCAUUAAGUAUGUGAGGCAUUUGUUAGCAAAUAGACCAUUUGAGAACAGGUAUGCUCUCUAUGUGGGUAAUUUCUUACACUAUGGGCAUUUCCUUAAUAGCUGUGGAUUGUGGGGGAGGGUUUGCAGGAUUCUUGAGCGAGCUUAUAGUCAUUGGGAAAGGACAAGACUGAACAUGCCACCUGUUGGCAUACUGAAAGGCAAGUUGCCAAAAAUGUCCUGGUGCUGGAGCUGUGGCAACAUGCAUGGACCUGAAGGUGUUGGGAUUCUUCUCCUCGGUAUGUAGAGGAUUCGGGAUCUGGCUUUUUAAAGACACUUCUUUUAGUAAGGAUAGAUACAGAAUGUCUGGUUCUCAUCAUUUAAGGUGCACAUAUCAGUAAACUGAAGUGCAGCUGUCACACCAGAGCGCCUUGAUCUGCAACCUAUUUGACUACUGAGCUCCUGUCCAGUGAACAGCAGCUUGUAGUGUUUUGGUACCCCUGUGCCUGGAGGAUUUCCCUGGAGGGUACUGCGUUUAUGUACACCUUUCUUAACACUUUGCUUUUAGAGACUGUAAUAAUUGGUACCAUAGCCAUUGCCCCAAGCCCUGGUCUGGAGUUCUGUCACCUGCCCUUUCCACUCUGGGACUGAAGGGUCCAGCGAAAGUUUUAUUGUUGUUUUGUUGUUGCUCUUUGAGACUGCUGUUAUAAGAACACACCUCACAGUGGAACCACAAACUGCUGUGAUUUGAUUGUUAGUGUUACCCUUCAGGUUUGGGGAUCAUGUCUGUGUUCUUAGUGUUUAGGGUCUCAGCAGGAGACCUAGGCUUUUAUGACUUUACCCUUUGGAGAUUUGAGUGUCCCCAGAAAGCACCAGGUGUUUUUGUAGGCUUUUUUUAUUUUUUAUUUUUACAUUCUUUAACUUAAUCCUUGUUUACACGAACACACUACACACACACACACACACACACACACAGUAUGUAUGUGUCUGUGUCUGUGUCUGUGUGUCUCUCUCUCUCUCUCUCUCUCUCUCUCUCUCUCUCUCUCUCUCUCUCUCUCUCUCUCUCUCUCUCUCCUAAUUAGAGUUCCUAAGGGAGGAGCCUUCCCCAUCACCACCCAGAGGGAAAAAAGAAAUGUCAGGGAAGACAUACAACAAAUACCAGAUGUACUAUCAGAAUAAGCUUUAUUUGUUUGUUUCCAUUUACCAUCUAUAUAGUCUAGUGACCUCCAGAACCCCCUGCUUUACAUGUUUCUAGAAAUGGUUCAGGCCACGGCCAGAAGGCCCUACCACACUGCCUGGCGCAUUCAGAGAAGCAAGGGUGGGAACAAUGGGCAGAGUGGCUUUUUGUUCUCCCGCCCCUGUUUACCUAUUCACAAUCCUGAAGCGGCUCGGCUGUGAUGGGGGAUGUCACGUGUAACUCCACCCCCCCCCGCCCCCGUCCCCCCCCCCCCCCCCGGCUGAGAAGGAGCAUAAUGCCUGCUUUCCAGACCUUCCCUCAUUCAGUGAAAGAUGUAGUUGUCGUGUGUCGGGACGACAGAGGGGCACGGUGGAAGCCAGCACGUGUGGCUGAUUACCGGGGCUGCCAUGUGCUUUGCAAGCCUCCGGUGUCUGCUCGGGAGCUGCUCCCUGCAUGGCCGCCUCCUGUCCAUCCUUGUCAGCGCCGCUGCUUUCUUAAGAAUCAUUGGAGAGCAAGCCUGUCCCUCCCUCCCUUGUGCGUGCACAUCCUGUUUCGUGAAAACGUAUUUUUCUUUUAAGCAAAAUUGAAAGAAAGGAGAGCGAGAAAGGAAGAGGGUGGGGGGAAGAAGGUUGCCAUCCAGUGGAGGAAGGAGUAAUUUCUAGCUUCAUUCAAGAAAGAAAAAAAAAAUGCACACACACACACACACACACACACACACACACACACACACACACACACACGCAGGCUGAAGUAUGCUUAACUCUUUUAACUUGGCUGGGGCGUUUUAGCACCAUAUGGGUUCUUUCGUGACGUCCGGAGCCAAAAGAGUGCAGUGUGCCUUUAAGGAAAGAGGUACCUCACCAAACUUCCCUGUAGUUGUGCUUCACCAUUUAGGUAGGGAAGGAAAGUGUUAAUUUCUUAUUUGUACACUUUUUUUCCCCCGACUUCCUUCCUAUUCACUUCAUUAAAUCUAGAGGCAGUUCAGCAUGGGAGCCGUCUGUAUGUUGAAUUAGGGCUCGUUCUCUUGCGCAACACGUCACCAGUCGGAAACUGGGGGUUUGCUUCUGUGAUUUAUUUCAUUAUUGUGCUGGUAAAAGGUUUGGAAGGGAAUUCUUUCUGGGGGUAGUACUUUUAGCAUUGUGUAGCAAGUUUUUUUUGUUUUUGUUUUUGUUUUUGUUUGGUUUCUUUUCUUCUUCUUUUUGUACCGCCCCCCCCCACCCCAGCUAAGUUAUCCGCUGAGCUAUCUUAACAAAUAAUAUUUUAAAUCAGAGAAGUCCCCAUAAUUUCCCUUACAAGCAAGAGAAAUCUUAAGUCUAACUCUUGAAGUGCGAAAAGCAUUGGGAAAUAUGGAGGGAAUUGAUUUCCAUUAGAAAAAGCCCCUUAGAAACCACAGGACAUGAAUCCCUGCAUAUAGAUGUGUUUCGGGUCUUUGGGGAGGAGGGAAGAUUUUUGUAGCUCUCUGCAUUCCUGCAUAAAAACCUUAACUUAAGGGGGGGGAUAACGGUCAGUACUCUGUGUGUUUUCCUGUAACUCCAGGACCUAGAUUUAAUAGGAAUCUGCAGUAUUAACAGUUGUAAUAAAAAUCGGUUUGACUAGUUCCGUUUGCAAUUUAAUUUGUUUUUCCUUCUUAGGUACUCCCAGGCGUAGAGAUUUAAAAGUCCCAAUAUCACAGGCUUAUGUUUGUUUCCCGCCCCCCUUUUCCAGAAUUAAGGGGGUGGGGGUCAGAGCAGAAAUACUCUUUUCACAACUUCCCCCUCCUCACGGAUCCCACUGAAAAGGAAAAAAAAAAAAAAAAAAAACAAUGAAAAAGAUUUUGCAGUAUGAAAACCGAAAGUGAAGUGUCACAGUUAUUCGGGGUUUUCUUUACAGAGAAAAAUAACACUGUAUUAAAAUACAGGAACCUGAGAACAUGCACGUUGCUUUUACUUACAUGCCUCUAGUGUGUGUGUGUGCUGGGGGCGGGACGGGGGCUGUUUUUCUUCUGUGUUAAAAAUCGUUUUAGACUGCUCCAAACCCAUGCAGUAUAUCUUUUCAGAGAAAAAAAAAAACCGACUAAGAUGAAGCAUAAAAUACAAUCAAAAGCAUGUCUUGCUUUAAUCUUUUAAAAUACAUUUGAAUAUUCAUGUGUUUUCCUUAUUGGCUUAAUUGUUAAAAUGCAAGCAAGAAUGAGAAACCACCUGAGCUAAAAUCUCUAAUUCUGCUGCCUGGAAUAAUAAGGGGGGUUGGGGGGGGGGGAGAGAAACAAUAUGAUAAGUAGUUGUCAAUAUUAAAACAGGCUGGAGGAGGAAGGCUUGGGGCCUGGUCGUAGGUAGAAUGAAACAGCAGAUUUGAGUAUCCACAAUCCUUCCAGUAUUAAAUUUUCAGUAAAAUAAAAUUACUUGUAUAUGAAAACAUAGCCUUUCCCAGCUCUCUUUUUUUUCCUGAUCAGCUGAUGAAGAGACUAGCAGCUCGCUGCUUUGCCGGCUUGUUAAUUUUAUCCCCACUAACUGUGAUUUCCGAUAGCCGGUCUGCUGAUAGUGGUAAGUGCGGCUGGCUCUGGUUUAAAGCAAGCGUUCGCAGGCCAUCGAAGACGGAAAUUUGGAAGAAAUGGAAGAGGAGGUACGGCUGAAGAAGAGGAAAAGACGAAGAAACGUGGAUAAAGAUCCCGUGAAGGAAGAUGUGGAAAAAGCAAAGAAAA